rnacentral:rRNA from 1 species
AUGCACGCUGGCGGCGUGCCUAACACCUGCCAGUCGAGCGGCAGCGAGGGGUGCUUGCACCCUGUCGGCGAGCGGCGGACGGCUGAGUAACGCGUGGGAACGUGCCCCAAAGUGAGGAAUAACUGCCCGAAAGGGUAGCUAAUACCGCAUAUUAUCUUCGGAUCAAAGGAUUUAUCCGCUUUGGGAGCGGCUCGCGUCGGAUUAGGUAGUUGGUGAGGUAAUGGCUCACCAAGCCGACGAUCCGUAGCUGGUCUGAGAGGAUGACCAGCCAGACUGGAACUGAGACACGGUCCAGACUCCUACGGGAGGCAGCAGUGAGGAAUCUUCCACAAUGGGCGAAAGCCUGAUGGAGCAACGCCGCGUGCAGGACGAAGGCCUUCGGGUUGUAAACUGCUUUUAUAAGUGAGGAAUAUGACGGUAACUUAUGAAUAAGGAUCGGCUAACUACGUG